GUUUUUACACAACAAGCUGCCUUGUUUCCAUUUUGUUCCUUACUGCGUGGUCAUAGUUGACACCGACAGAAAUGAACUUACACGGGAUAAAAAGGCUUGAGAGGCACGUCCAGAGCCUGCGGGAUGGGGCGCGGCAGGAGGAGCUCAGCAGGGACACGGCUGUCUCCGUCCCACCGGUCAGGCAGAGGGGCCCCGCUUGCUCCUGCUUCCAGGGCUUCAUGCACCAAGCGCAAUGGGAUUCCCAGAAGGCCAUCGCCUGCUUGGGCUGCACAUACGUCCAGAAGCUGCAAGAUUCUGAGGACGAGGAGAAGCGGCGUUGUGUUGGAUUGCUGAAUUAACUCACUUACUAUGCAUACCUUGCUGUGCUAGAACGACUUGUGCGCUAUGCUGGCACUGCUCCACUGCCAGAUGCGUCUCCCGAGAUUUACACAAGACUUUUCUUGAAAUAUUUGGCUUAGAGAGAAACCCCUUGUCUGAGCAGAGCUGUGAAAAGCUAUUGGGUAGGCUGAGCCAUUCCCACCUUCAUCUCUGCGCAGUGUUUGCCUUCAUAAUGGACCAGAUUUAUGGUGGAUUGGUUCAAUAAAGACCCAAAGCAACACUUAAUUGAUUUCA
rnacentral:lncRNA from 1 species